CUCCUUUAUCUUCACCGAUGGUUGUUUGUGUUGUUGAUAUACAGGAACGGAAGAGGAGGAAAAGAACGUUGCAGAGAAGAAAGCAGCCUUCAACCAACUGCAGCUGCUCGUGGGUGGCCUUCUUUAAUGGGAUGACAGAGAGUGGGCGUAUGGGGGCGGUAAAGACGAUGGUAGGCGUGGUUUUACGUUGCAGGUCAGGGAUGGGGAUGAGGACAGGGUUAUCAUUUUACUGCAAGCGGGCAGCAGCGCUCAGGGGCGUGAGAUUCUUCCUGUCAUGGGAGUGUGUGCGCGAGGCGAGGGGGUGAGAGGGGCCACAUUACCAAGACGAAGACACUGAAUCACUGACAGAGAAGAAACGUCAUUUGCCUCUUUCUGCCCACCGAGCCAUGGGAUGGGACUUUUGGGUCGUCCUGGGGGCAAAAAGCUUCUGCCAUUCUGUGUUCAUGGCCCACUGUUACCUCUCUUAUCCUCCUGGUGCUGGCUCCGGGACAUGAGGUGAACAGUAAUGACUACUCCUCGUUGCCCUCUGGCAUCCACUAUCAGUAUCGCAGGACGUGGUUUUUGUCUCA